rnacentral:rRNA from 1 species
GACGAACGCUGGCGGCGUGCUUAACACAUGCAAGUCGAACGGAAAGGCCCUGCUUUUGUGGGGUGCUCGAUUGGCGAACGGGUGAGUAACACGUGAGUAACCUGCCCUUGACUUUGGGAUAACUUUAGGAAACUGGGGCUAAUACCGGAUAGGAGCUCCUGCUGCAUGGUGGGGGUUGGAAAGUUUCGGCGGUUGGGGAUGGACUCGCGGCUUAUCAGCUUGUUGGUGGGGUAGUGGCUGACCAAGGCUUUGACGGGUAGCCGGCCUGAGAGGGGGACCGGCCACAAGGGGACUGAGGUAGGGCGCAGACUCCUACGGGAGGCAGCAGUGGGGAAUAUGGCACAAUGGGCGGAAGCCUGAUGCAGCAACGUCGCGUGCGGGAUGACGGCCUUCGGGUUGUAAACCGCUUUCGCCUGUGACGAAGCGUGAGUGACGGUAAUGGGUAAAGAAGCACCGGCUAACUACGUG